UACGAAGGGGGCUAGCGUUGUUCGGAAUUACUGGGCGUAAAGCGCACGCAGGCGGUUUGUCCAGUCAGAAGUGAAAGCCCGGGGCUCAACCUCGGAAUAGCUUUUGAUACUGACAGACUUGAAUCCGUGAGAGGGCAGUGGAAUUCCGAGUGUAGAGGUGAAAUUCGUAGAUAUUCGGAAGAACACCAGUGGCGAAGGCGACUGCCUGGCACGGUAUUGACGCUCAUGUGCGAAAGCGUGGGGAGCAAACAGG
rnacentral:misc_RNA from 1 species